AAUAAGUGGUACUUCACUUGUUUAAGCAACUCAGGAUCAGAAGACUGACAAUUCAUGUCAAGCGAUCACCACUAGGAGUGGUAAGAUUUUAUCUGGCCCUGCUAUCGACAAACUUGUAAAUAUUGAGGAAGUUGCAGAUGAACCAGCAAAACAACACCCAGAGAAGUAUGAGAAACUAAAUAGUUGUAUUGACUUGUCAGACAAGGAGAAAAAGAAGGAAGUGGUGUUGAAACCCAUGCCACGGCG
rnacentral:lncRNA from 1 species